UACAGAGGUCCCAAGCGUUGUUCGGAUUCAUUGGGCGUAAAGGGUGCGUAGGCGGCGCGGUAAGUCGGGUGUGAAAUCUCGGAGCUUAACUCCGAAACUGCAUUCGAUACUGCCGCGCUUGAGGACUGGAGAGGAGACUGGAAUUUACGGUGUAGCGGUGAAAUGCGUAGAUAUCGUAAGGAAGACCAGUGGCGAAGGCGGGUCUCUGGACAGUUCCUGACGCUGAGGCACGAAGGCCAGGGGAGCAAACAGG
rnacentral:rRNA from 1 species